GUGGCUGUAGUUCACAGACUGUUGAUCGAUGCAACCGGUAACUGUUCUUCUGCUUUUAAAAACAACAGUCAACAAGAAACCAGGUAGAUGAUGACAUCCGAGAGGGGGAGGCCCCUCUUCUCACAGAGCCCAGUGAGCAUAGUGCGGAUGGAGAGGCCAGGUCGGGCUGGAGCCAGGGAGGCAGUGCCGUCAGGCCUCGUAAUCCAAACUGGUGAAUCUCAUCUCUUUUCCCAUAAAUCCUCCAGCCCUCAGGAGAAAAUCAGAUGCCCAUGUGGUUCUUUCUAUUUAAGGGACUCUUGCGUGGGCCUCUUUCUCACUUUACUUUCUUGGGCAUUUUSACAAACAAUCUUUGUGGCAGUGUUAUGUAUUGUCUCCCAGUCAGUAAAAUGCUUUCAUUCAAA